rnacentral:rRNA from 1 species
CGUAACAAGGUCUCCGUAGGUGAACCUGCAGAGGGAUCAUUACACAAAUAUGAAGGCGGGCUGGAACCUCUCGGGGUUACAGCCUUGCUGAAUUAUUCACCCUUGUCUUUUGCGUACUUCUUGUUUCCUUGGUGGGUUCGCCCACCACUAGGACAAACAUAAACCUUUUGUAAUUGCAAUCAGCGUCAGUAACAAAUUAAUAAUUACAACUUUCAACAACGGAUCUCUUGGUUCUGGCAUCGAUGAAGAACGCAGCGAAAUGCGAUAAGUAGUGUGAAUUGCAGAAUUCAGUGAAUCAUCGAAUCUUUGAACGCACAUUGCGCCCUUUGGUAUUCCAAAGGGCAUGCCUGUUCGAGCGUCAUUUGUACCCUCAAGCUUUGCUUGGUGUUGGGCGUCUUGUCUCUAGCUUUGCUGGAGACUCGCCUUAAAGUAAUUGGCAGCCGGCCUACUGGUUUCGGAGCGCAGCACAAGUCGCACUCUCUAUCAGCAAAGGUCUAGCAUCCAUUAAGCCUUUUUUUCAACUUUUGACCUCGGAUCAGGUAGGGAUACCCGCUGAACUUAAGCAUAUC